CAUGAUCACAUCUCUACCUUCGUUUAGUGCUGUCACCAACAAUGACGAUGCUGCAUCCGUUGAUGAUUGGUGCACCAGUUCUGAGGUCUGAAGCAUGUCAUCGGGGCAGCCCAUGGAGUUAAGUGCCUUAUAAACCACGUCGCUUUCUUUGAAAGCGUCCGCCUCUACCACCACGGCUUUUGCUUCUGCAUCCGACCAGAAUGGUUCUUGGAGGAUGUCUUUGAGGACGGUGCUUUUGCCGGCUCCCAUUCCGCCGCCCAUGAGAAGGAGAACGGGGCUCCUUUGGCUGAGGGCCACCGGCGCCAUAACGUCGGUGCAUUUAGAAUCAGGCGCCACUCCGCCGCCGCCGUUGAUUGCUUUUAUUUCUUCCACUAGAGUCGAUAUAACCCUCGUCACUUUGAGCUCCUUUGUCACCCUCUCAAACCUCUGCUUCCUUGUGGCGGCCAUCACAAAGCCUUUGAACUUAGUUUUGUGCUCCGAUUCAUCCGUCAAAGCCUGAGAAACCAUUUGAGGAGCCAUAUCCCAAUGAAAAGCAAAGUAGGCCAAAAUGCAAGUCUCCAACUCUUGAAUGAGCUUCACAUAUAAUGAAUCUGCGUCCUUUUCAUCAACCAAAUAUUCAUAGAUUGAUUCUUCACAACCUUUCUUCUUCUUCAAAUAAUCAUUCAUCAGCUUCUUCAACCUUGGGCACUCUCCUUCAUCUGUGAAUCCCAAUUGCCUUGCAACAUAGUGAGGGAACGCCUCAAUGCUUCCGGCCCGGCCGGAUUCUUUCCGUCCGAUCACCGGUACGAUUUUCUCAUCCUCCACGACGGCUGCAGACGACCUCCAAUUCCGGCCCCAGUGAUAACGCACUCCGGCGGCGGCCACGAUGCCGACCAACGACACGGCGAUCAUCCGAGCUUGUUUGACGAUCCCUCCCCCAUUUGCGCCGAGAUCGGAGAGCUUCAUGUCGGAGAGAAAUCUCCGCCGGCGACUGUUGGAAUGGAGGAAGAAGGAUAUGGAGAACUGCAGAGGGAGUUGUGGG
rnacentral:misc_RNA from 1 species